UGCGGGGUGGAGCAGUGGUUUAGCUCGCCAGGCUCAUAACCUGGAGGUCGAUGGUUCAAAUCCAUCUCCCGCUA
rnacentral:tRNA from 1 species